UUGCUUUGGUAGUGGAUAUACUAAAAUUGGAACAAUACAGAAGAGAUUAGCAUGGUGCUAGGCAAGGAUGACAGGCAAAUUUGUGAAGUGUUAAACAAAUCC
ensembl:snRNA U6 U6 spliceosomal RNA